rnacentral:rRNA from 1 species
UCCGCGCCGUAGCUAACGCAUUAAGUGCCCCGCCUGGGGAGUACGGCCGCAAGGCUAAAACUCAAAGGAAUUGACGGGGGCCCGCACAAGCGGCGGAGCAUGCGGAUUAAUUCGAUGCAACGCGAAGAACCUUACCAAGGCUUGACAUGGGCUGGAUUGCUUCGGAGACGGGGUUUCCCUUUUUUGGGCUGGUUCACAGGUGGUGCAUGGUUGUCGUCAGCUCGUGUCGUGAGAUGUUGGGUUAAGUCCCGCAACGAGCGCAACCCUUGUCUCGUGUUGCCAGCGCGUUGUGGUGGGGACUCGCGGGAGACUGCCGGGGUUAACUCGGAGGAAGGUGGGGAUGACGUCAAAUCAUCAUGCCCCUUAUGUCUUGGGCUUCACGCAUGCUACAAUGGCCGGUACAGUGGGUUGCGAUGCUGUGAGGCGGAGCGAAUCCCUGAAAGCCGGUCUCAGUUCGGAUCGGUGUCUGCAACUCGACACCGUGAAGUUGGAGUCGCUAGUAAUCGCAGAUCAGCAGCGCUGCGGUGAAUACGUUCUCGGGCCUUGUACACACCGCCCGUCACGUCAUGAAAGCUGGCAACACCCGAAGCCCGUGGCCUUAUG